GCAUCACGGGGGCGGUCACAUCCAAGGUUUCCGGGGUGGAAGUCGCCGGCGACGAGAUGCUCGUCGACGCCCGCGGCGAGAUGCUGGGCGGCGCCCCUCCAGAGUCCUCGCGCCCCGCUGAUGAGUGUCUGAUGGAUGCCCGCAAGAAGAUUGAACACGAGAUCGAAAGUAAAGCCAAGGCGUCCUUGAAAGAAGGGUUAGGUCAAGAGCUUAAAACUUUUGUGGAGAUGGAGUUUGUGGAGAUGGAGUAUAUGGUGUGAAUAUAGAUUCUGGGAUGGAGUUUGUGGAUAUGACGAAUUUUUUGGGGCAUGUUUUCCGUUGCUUUAGUCGUACUUGGUUGUCACUGAUGUAUUGUUCAAUUAUUUUUUGGCAAUGCCUGUUUGAAUUUUUUUCUGAGGCAUUUGGCAUACUGAGGUAGUUGAUUUUUUGUUUUGAGACAAUGUGUGUGUUCUACACCAAGCUGGGCCAGUGUUGUGUUAUACAUAGUUCUGUUUCUAGGCAAUUCUAGCCAGACUCCAUUCCCUCACACAAAUCUGAGCUGAGCUAGUACUUGCAACGGAGGGACACGUGGGUGGGCGGCAGCGGCCAAAGUGUGGGUAUGCGUGCGUGCAUGCUUCGCGUGGCGCGACUAGCAUUGUGGUUGGGAUCGGAUGUCCACACC